rnacentral:sRNA from 1 species
CUUUCUCUGUGGUCCUUUUGCAAUUCAGAGGCCUCCCGUCUUUUCCUCAGUUUUGUCAGGAGCAGAAGACUCAGCUGACUGUUUUAGCCUGUGGAGUCCAGAGAGGGAAACCCCUAAGGGUGAUGCUGAUGCUGGCGUGAUGCUGAUUUUGGAAAUGGUCUCAGGAAGCUCAGGUAUCUGUUGACGGCUUGGCGAGUCCGAGAGCCUGCUUAUCUUCCUUAUAGGGACUCUCAGACAAGGAUAACUGAACUUUCACAGACCCGCCGGGUUGAAUAGCAGCAUUAAAAGGGACUAGAGCUUCAUAUUACAUCAUUAAGAAUCAUCUAGUGCGGGCUGGAGAGAUGGCUCAGCGG